UACGUAGGGCGCAAGCGUUAUCCGGAAUUAUUGGGCGUAAAGAGCUCGUAGGCGGUUUGUCGCGUCUGCCGUGAAAGUCCGGGGCUCAACUCCGGAUCUGCGGUGGGUACGGGCAGACUAGAGUGAUGUAGGGGAGACUGGAAUUCCUGGUGUAGCGGUGAAAUGCGCAGAUAUCAGGAGGAACACCGAUGGCGAAGGCAGGUCUCUGGGCCAUAACUGACGCUGAGAAGCGAAAGCAUCGGGAGCGAACAGG
rnacentral:rRNA from 1 species